UGAUUGCAGCAGAGCAGAGAAUCCAGCAGUACUCUGAAGACUAUGGAGGCUGAGUCUGAUUAAGCCAAUGUGGAAGAAAGUCCAUUUUAGGUUGAUUCAAUUGAUAAAAGAAGGAAACAAUUGAAUUUUGGCCUUGGGACUAGUAAGACUUGUCUAAAUGAGAGGAAAGUGGAGCAAGAUUAAUGCUUUACUAGAUUUCUCUCUCUUUUUUUGUCUUCUUUUUCCACAAGGCUGCAAACAUUUGGCCAACUUGAGACAUCAAUGAUGAAUUUUUUCUAGUUACAGGGGGUAAUCGAGUUAGCAGAUGGAACUGAAGUAUUACAAGGCAUGCUCUCAGUUACAAGAACAGCUGCUUAUACUACCAGGGAUUGCUGCAGAGAAAAGUUAUGACACCACCCAAACCAUUUAGGCAAUGCACACAUGAAGCUUUGUGGUAAUCCCAGUUGGCUGCAGUUUCAGCAAAAAAAAAAUUUCCUUUGAAAAAUGACCCCUCUUAAUAUCAACAACAUCAUCCCAGAGCCAGUGAGAGGCCAAAUGAAGUUACCUCAAAAUAAAGAACAACAACAACAACAAAAGGCCAAUUUUCCUCAAGAUGGUGCCCUCCAGACAGUUGGACUAUCAUUCUCAUAAUCUUUAAUCAUGAUAACUAUUAGUUGGAGAAGUCUAUAUUUCUCUACUGAAUCUAAUGAAGAUCUACUGAAUAUUGAAGAUACAUUGAAGAACAACCUAAAGAAUCAUCACCAAUGCUUGUCUUGUUUACAGAAUUUUUGGCAUAUUUAUUAAAUAAGGAAGAUCAAGAUGAUUAAAAAUAAAAAGAAUAUCAAGUUGGUUUAUUUCAUGAAGGUUAAGCUAGAUAUAUUGUUAUCUCUGAUAACCCUUAAUGAAUCAGGACUGAACUACAAGCUUUAAGGAUCUUUUUACAGAUGGCAGAGGCAGAAAGAUCAGACAAGAAAAUGAGAUUCAAGAAGAACUGGCAAACCUCAAGACGGAUUAAACAAAGCCAACUUGGAUAAAAUAAGGACGGACCAAAAAUGAAGUGUAGUAUUUAACCACAAUCAACCUGGGGGAAAAAAAAAACAUUUGUGCCACGAACAAAGUUGGUCUUGUUUGCCUGAUUUUUAAAGGUUUGAUUUAAAAUCAUCUUCCCUGUAUUUUCCAGGCUGGAUUAAUAUGCUUCUGAACUCAAAAGCAAUGACUUCUAUUUUCUUUGUGAUGGGACAAGAUUGCAGGAACACAAGGAGAAAUACUCUGCAGAAGUCUCCCAUCACCUAGUAUCUGCAUUAUAUGUUGAACUACAUUUUCCGUAAACUCAUAAUCAAGUGUGACUAUUGCAGCGGUUCUCAACCUGUGGGUGGCGACCCUUUUGGGAGUCGAACGAUGUUCUCACCCACAGCUCAAGGUAGGGAAACUUACACAAUCCUUCUCAAGUGGUUGUCCUGUCUAUUUUUGAAAACCUCCAGUGAUGAAGAAUAAUAGAAUAGAAUAAUAACUUUAUUGUCACUUUAAAUGUACACUAAUUGGCAUACAUUAAAAUGAA